UGGGGAAUUUUGCGCAAUGGGGGAAACCCUGACGCAGCAACGCCGCGUGCGGGACGAAGGCCUUCGGGUCGUAAACCGCUUUCAGCAGGGAAGAAGUUGACGGUACCUGCAGAAGAAGCCCCGGCUAACUACGUGCCAGCAGCCGCGGUAAUACGUAGGGGGCGAGCGUUAUCCGGAUUCAUUGGGCGUAAAGCGCGCGUAGGCGUCCCUUCAAGCGGCACCGUCGAAGCCGGGGGCUCAACCCCCGGAAGCGGGCCGAACUGGGGGGAUCGAGUGCGGUAGGGGAAGGCGGAAUUCCCGGUGUAGCGGUGAAAUGCGCAGAUAUCGGGAAGAACACCGACGGCGAAGGCAGCCUUCUGGGCCGCCACUGACGCUGAGGCGCGAAAGCUGGGGGAGCGAACAG
rnacentral:rRNA from 1 species